UAGAGUUUGAUCCUGGCUCAGGAUGAACGCUGGCGGCGUGCUUAACACAUGCAAGUCGAACGGAGUUUAGAUGAAACCUAGUGAUUCUAAACUUAGUGGCGGACGGGUGAGUAACGCGUGGGUAACCUGCCAUAUACAGGGGGAUAACACUUAGAAAUAGGUGCUAAUACCGCAUAAGCGCACAGGACCGCAUGGUCUGGUGUGAAAAACUCCGGUGGUAUAUGAUGGACCCGCGUCUGAUUAGCUAGUUGGUGAGGUAACGGCCCACCAAGGCGACGAUCAGUAGCCGGCCUGAGAGGGUGAACGGCCACAUUGGGACUGAGACACGGCCCAAACUCCUACGGGAGGCAGCAGUGGGGAAUAUUGCACAAUGGGGGAAACCCUGAUGCAGCGACGCCGCGUGAGUGAAGAAGUAUUUCGGUAUGUAAAGCUCUAUCAGCAGGAAAGAAAAUGACGGUACCUGACUAAGAAGCCCCGGCUAACUACGUGCC
rnacentral:rRNA from 1 species